rnacentral:lncRNA from 13 species
CCUCUUCCCACCUCUGGCCAGCUAGGGUCUUUGUUUCCAGUUUUCCUGCGUCUGGCUCCUAGGGACUUUGUUCAGGGACAGGGACUUUUCCCACCUCUGGCCCUUGGAAGCAGAGGCUCAGUUACUCAGGAUUUUAAUACAGUAGCCAAUCGUUAAACAUUCAAAAAUCAAUUAAUCCAGAGAAAAUUUGAAAAACCCUCUCACUGAACAAGAACAAGAAUGGGGAAAGAAUAAUUCAGGGGUAUAAUCCCCAGCCUCCAAGCCUCCAGCAGCACCCUCCACCCUCUGAGUCCCCUUCCAUGGUGUCCAAGCUGUCCUUUCACUCUGCCUAAUAAAACACACUACCGCACAUUCUUUGGGUCCAUGAGUUCUAUCUGAGCUGUAACACUCACUGUGAUACUGAAGCCCCCUUUCCCAUUCUUCAGACUUGGAGAGGACAAGAACCUGAAGCUAAUCUGGUUACAUCUGUUGGCAAGCCAGCCAGGAGCAACUCCAAACGCCAGCAUGGAUCAGGAAAGUAACCUCCCUGACUUCCACCAACAUGCUGAAAAGGAACAGCUUGCAUAGUUUGCAGUGAGAGCAAGUCAGAACGUGCAGUGGCUCAUGCCUACAAUCUCAGAACGUUGGGAGGUCGAAGCAGGCAGAUCUCUGGAGGUCAGGAACUGAGACCAGCCUUGCCAACAUGGUGAAACCCCGUCUCUACUAAAAAUACAAAAAUCAGCCAAGCAUAGUGGUACAUGCCUGUAAUCCCAGCUACCUUAGAGGUUGAGGCCCAAGAAUCACUUGAACCUGGGAGGUGGAGGUUGCAGUGAGUCAAGAUUGCACCACUGCACUCCAGCCUGGGUGACAGAGCGAGAUUCUGUCUCAAAAGAAAUAUAAUAAAACAAAAUAAAAAUACUUUUCUAUUUAUCA